AGGAGGAGCUUAAUGUAUAUCUGAUGUAUUUUGCUGAACCUGAAGAGACUUUCAUCAGAUCAUUCAAGCUGAGACUGUAAGCACACAUACAAUGAUCCUCCAUUCAGUUAUUCUGUUCUCUGCUUUAGCAUGUGCCAGUAAUGGAGACACGAUUACACCAGACAAAACGCAGGAGUUUGCUGUUGAGGGUUCAAAUGUUAUAUUAUCCUGCAGUUAUUCUUCUGCACGGUCUUUACUUUGGUACCGUCAAUAUCCCGGAUCAGGUCCUGAAUUCCUUGUGCUCAUCCCAGAGAGUAAAAAAGAAGUUCAGCCAUCUGAUGUAGAUCAAAGAUUCACAAGUAAGAUCAGAAAAGAAAAUCAAAACCAUGUGGAUCUGAUCAUCUCCUCUGCUGCAGUAUCAGACUCUGCUCUGUAUUACUGUGCUCUGACGCCCACAGUCACAGGAAACACUGUAACUCUGUACAAAAACCUGCUUGUGCAAAAAAUGAAACUAUGAUGUUCCAUAGUAUACGGGAGAAAUGGGACCCUUAAAUCUUGAAUUAUCUACAGACCCAUCUGGUAUAUCUAGAAGCAUCUUGACCAUUUCAAGCAGCUACAUGAAACACAAAUGCAUGAUUAUUGAAGGUAUAAAAGUGUUAGUUUACUCAUUCACAUGUACAAAUGUGGUCAAUAUACAAUCAAGGCACACCUUCAGAUAACUUUUACCUUAACACUGCAAAGAAAAAACAACAACAAAACAGGUGCAUGAAGUCCAUGGGUGUAUGCAGAGAGUAACUGGCUUAACAAUAUACACAUCAAAGUAUUAGUAGAGGGAAUCAAGUGUGUGUUCAAAAACAUUUUAGGCUAAUCCUACUUUUUUUUUUUAAUUAAAAAUCGUUCAAAAUAACACAUUUUAAGUCAUUUCAAACUUUUAUCCACAAGGGGUCAGCAUUGCUCUCUUUGUGUAUGAGUAGAUCAUGUGACAUGAUACAAACAUUUAGCACCAUUGAGU